rnacentral:lncRNA from 11 species
UUUCAACUCUCUGAUGGAACCACACAAUCUCGAAGAGCUGGAACACUUUCUUUUCAACGUACUUUGGAAAUUUUAUGAGAGCUCUGAAUUAAAAGAAAUUCUCCCAGAUCUUUGGACAUUGGAGCAAGGAACAGAAGAAUGCCUUUUACUGAUGUAGAUGUUGCCAAAAGGAAAGCUUUGAAGCCACUAAGGAAGUACCAAGACUGACUUUUUAUUACUGUGAGGCUGC